UGCACGAUUACGACAAAAAUCAUAAUUGUUUAUUAUUCUCUUGAAAUUGUAAUUGCGAUUAUUAAUUACGAUUAUCACAAUUACAUGGAAUGAUGUUUUGAAUAGCUUUAUAUCAUUGUUUGAAGCAACUGCAUGCCACAUAUUUAUGCAAAAAUGAAAAACAAGCUGAAAACACUGUUCCUGAUUUUUUAUUUUUAUUUUUAUUUUAUUUUUUAUUGCUCUUCUGUAGCAUUAAGCCUCAAAUGUCAACUCUUCCAGCUAACACACGACGUAACAGUUGUACGACGUAAUGUAUUCGUCCUUUUUGGUAAUUUCAUGACUUAGUUUCUACUAACUGACAACGUAACUACGACGUCGCAUGCCAGUAAUUCAUUACCUUCAAAUUACCAUCUCACAACGUCGUCAGUACGAUCUCAUAACGUUGUAAGAUUACCAAGAACGUUCCAGAUACGUACUCUAUUCGUAAUAUAUCGGUAAUUCCAUGACUUUAUGUUGCACAGUAUGUUGACAAGAUAAUUUUUCUGAGGUGUGAAACUUUUUAUUUCGUAACAAUUUAUGCGGCUAACGUUGGCAUAAUGACACAGACAUAGCCUAGCACCUUCUCAUCUGACAGCAGAUACUGAAUAAGGACAACUCAAGUCACUUUUUACUUCAACUGCGUCUGACAGAAGAAUUUAUUUUUCCGAGUGCUGGUGGCCGUUGAGAGUUGGCAUGCCAACCGGGAAAACAUUCAAGCAGCUGAAGAGGACAGUGUCCACAUUUCCAAAGACUAUAGAAUAACACAAGACGCGUCACUCGUAUUAUUAUGAAUGGGAGAAAGUGCAACGCGCAAUAUGGCGGAAUAAGUCCCUCCUUCUAAAUAAGAGCCAAUCGCCGAUUGGUAAAGUCAUCGCGUCACUGCAGCGGCCGUUAGAAGCUCCGGUUUCUAUAGAAACAGACAGACGCGCGCCUCUGAAAUGAGGCACAAGAGACGCACAUUAGGUUGAUCCAGCCUGAAAAAGAACGUUUUUUUUUUUUUUUUUUUGUCAUGAUUUGAGCGUUUAGAAACAAAAUUUAUGAGACAGUUGUUGUCAGAUUUCAUUGGUGAUUUCAAAUAUGUAUUUUAAUCGAAAGCUUGGCAAACAGCUUUAGAGAAUUUGAUGUUUCCCCAUUCAAAGAGAUAGGAGCUGCACUUGGAUGCCCGAGAGGCGUUUCAAAGAUGGCCGCCGAGUGAAAUGACUUCUCUUAAAGGGACUUUGACAUUUCUCCGUGUUUCUCGUCAGUUUUAUCAAAGCUUUUUAAUUUUUAAUUAAUAAAUUUAAGAUCAUCAUGUUUGCAGCGAACAAUAUAUUUCUGACCUAGUGGAAUAAUAGUAAUAAUAUCUAGGUCUGAAUUGAAAUAGGCUAUAUUGUACGUUUUAAUGGAUCACGCUACAAACAUAAUGAUCUUAUAAUACAUGAUGCAUUGCUCUGUCCGUUAUCGCAUAAAUUCCCACUUUUGUACACUUUUGCUUUAACGGACUUUAGACUGCAAAAUCAAGCUGUUAUAUUCAUAUAUUUAUUGUCCAACAUUCCCAUUUUUUCUGAUGCAUGUCCUUAAUUUAAUUUCAUAUGUUGGUAAUAAUUCAGUGUUUAUAAGCCUUUUAAAAUAUUUUAACCCAAACUGACUGGGUUUCUAGAGAGCAAAGAUUUUGUGAAAAAAGUGGAAGACUUAAACACAAAGUGUGUAAAAUAAACUGUAAAAAGGAUUUGAUGAUCAGUAUUUUAUUCUGUGUUGUCAUCAUUCAGGUUGGAUUUCAGCUUUAAUGUUUUUUUUUUUUGUUUUUU